rnacentral:rRNA from 1 species
CCUUUGUACACACCGCCCGUCGCUACUACCGAUUGAAUGGCUUAGUGAGGCCCUCGGAUUGGCCCAGAGAGGUGGGCAACUACCACUCAGGGCCGGAAAGCUCUCCAAACUCGGUCAUUUAGAGG